CCUUUCAGUUAUUAACUGAUUAUAAUUACCUCCCCUGAAUGACGUCAUCCGGGGAUACCCGAUUAUCGACUGUAAGCAAACAAAGAGAUGUCUGUUUGACAAUGUGUGUUUUCAACGGUGUAAAUGGACUUAAAAUAUGAACGAAAAGAUUAAUGACCACGACUAUGCUGUCCAGUUUUACACAGCAACACCAGUAUUCGACUCAAAACCGGAUGGAAAACAGAUUCAAGACAUUACUGUAUCACUCGAGAAGAAGUUGAAGUCUAACAGGAUCUGCUGUGUGCCCAAAUGUCACACCACUGGCUAAGGAUUGUUAGAAGGCCAUGGAAAGCCCAGCUAUCAUGCAUUUCCAGCUGAAGAUGAUCCAGUUCAAGCUGUUUGGUUGAAUAAAAUACGAAGAGAUGAAGACAGACAUUUUAAGAUAAGUCACAAUACGGUUGUCUGUUUUCUCCAUUUUGAACGUGACUGUCUUGAUGAAUCUGGAUUUGCUAAGCGGAGGUAUCUAAAACCAGGAGCCAUCCCUACACUAUUCGACUGCUGGAAGGACAAACCACAUCUGUUGAAGCGAAUUCAAGUGGAACGUGCAAUUAACAAGAUUAAAAGUUUUCACAUAUUUGAUCAGGUCAUUCUGGUUUCUCUGUUUGGGAUAAUUAAUCAAAUUUGGACAGUUUGCUCAUUGCUCACUCUUUUCCAAGACCCAAUUAUACCAUGUCCUGGUGUUUAACAUACAUACCAUUUAUAUGAACAUUUGUUGUUCGUGUACAUCAUACUACAUGUAGGCUAAUGAAAAACCAUUGGCUGUUCAUGUAAUAUUUGUACAUUUUUUGGCUUUGUAUAAAGUUUUUGAUAAUUAUCUUGAUAUAAGCAUUGAUUUAGUUACAGAUUAAUGCUUAAAGAGUACUUAAAGCUACACACCUUGAAAUAAAGUACAUGUUCAUAUAGAUGCAAUUUGAAAGUGUGCAAAAUUUUCAUUAAAUCUAUAGUCUAGUUAGCAAGUAAUUUAUUAUUUUUCAAACAGGAAUAACUGCUUUUAAAACUGAAAGAAGGAUCUCUAUAUUAAACACGAUUAUUUUUAACUUUUUAAAGCGCAAAAAAAGAUGGCUUUCUACCUUGUUACCACCAGAUAUAUUCUAGUUGGCAUAAUAAAAUUAAAUCUAUAGCCUAGUUUAAUAGCAAGUUUUUUUUUCAAACAGUACUGCUUUUAAAACCGAAAGUAGGAUUUCCAGACGUACACAUCCAUUUCGACAAACGCGAUUAUUUUUAAGUUGUAAAGUGCAAAAAAGAUGGAUUUCUACCUUGUAACCACCAGAUAUAUUCUAAUUGGCAUAGAUAAAAUAUGUCACUCAUACUUAAAUUUACUAUGCCAAAUAAGGUGUGUGGCCUUUACAUAAAAAUUGUAUAUACAUCUUUUUAAUCAUGUUUGUUAAUUUGUUUUGAUUGUAUGACUACUGAAUAAAUAAUUUUGUUAAUAGAAAUUUUAGUUUUUUUUGGGAAAUAUUAGGUAAAACUAAGAAAGUCCAAUGCAUAUUGAGACAAAUCAGUACUUAAGUUCGUUUCCUGGGAAGAACCAUUACUGAUUCUCAAUGGGGAUCGAAACUGGUUGCUCCAGAUUGCUUAGCAGACACCAUAGCAACUAUUUCACUAAGACUCUGCUACAGAUUUGCGUAAUCCUUUGAGUAAAAACACUUUGUAAUCAAUGAUAUAAGCUUUAUUACAACAGAAAUAAUGCAAGAUAAGCACAUUUGAGUAGCAUAGUUCAUCACAAAACAGUAUGAAGUAUCAUUAAUUGUAAGAUUAAUGAUGAAAGACAACAUGUGAAAGCUAGAAAUCAUAAACUAAUUUAAGGAAACACAAUCUGAAAAUUACAAACAUUCAGAUACAGGUAUUGCACCAAAAUGAGCUGAGAUCCUAUGAUUAUAUUGAAUGAAUAAAUGUGAUUUGAGGUGAAUCUCACAAAUACUGACACUAAAAUAACACAAAAUUGAAUACUUUCAAAUAUAAUUUAGAUUAUUUCAAUACUCUUUAUUUCUGAUUACCGGUUUUUCAUGGAGCGGAAACACUUGCAUCUAACAAUUGUUGAACUGUUACGUUCAGAUGUCCAUGUGUCGAAUACAUAA